AUUGAACGCUGGCGGCAUGCUUUAACAUGCAAGUCGAACGGCAGCGCGGGGCAACCUGGCGGCGAGUGGCGAACGGGUGAGUAAUAUAUCGGAACGUACCCAGAAGUGGGGGAUAACGUAGCGAAAGUUACGCUAAUACCGCAUACGAUCUACGGAUGAAAGUGGGGAACCUUCGGGCCUCAUGCUUUUGGAGCGGCCGAUAUCUGAUUAGCUAGUUGGUAGGGUAAAGGCCUACCAAGGCGACGAUCAGUAGCUGGUCUGAGAGGACGACCAGCCACACUGGAACUGAGACACGGUCCAGACUCCUACGGGAGGCAGCAGUGAGGAAUUUUGGACAAUGGGCGCAAGCCUGAUCCAGCAAUGCCGCGUGAGUGAAGAAGGCCUUCGGGUUGUAAAGCUCUUUUGUCAGGGAAGAAACGGUCUAGGUUAAUACCUUGGGCUAAUGACGGUACCUGAAGAUAAGCACCGGCUAACUACGUGGCCAGCAGCGCGGUAAUACGUAGGGUGC
rnacentral:rRNA from 1 species